UGGUUACAAGCAAGAGAGAAGGAGUGGAACACUGGGACUGAUUACAGGCCAGACUCCUACGGGAGGUAGCAGUGGGGAAUAUUGCACAAUGGGCGAAAGCCUGAUGCAGCGACGCCGCGUGAGGGAUGACGGCCUUCGGGUUGUAAACCUCUUUCAGCAGGGAAGAAGCGCAAGUGACGGUACCUGCAGAAGAAGCACCGGCUAACUACGUGCCAGCAGCCGCGGUAAUACGUAGGGUGCGAGCGUUGUCCGGAAUUAUUGGGCGUAAAGAGCUUGUAGGCGGUUUGUCGCGUCUGCCGUGAAAAUCCGAGGCUCAACCUCGGACUUGCGGUGGGUACGGGCAGACUAGAGUGUGGUAGGGGAGACUGGAAUUCCUGGUGUAGCGGUGAAAUGCGCAGAUAUCAGGAGGAACACCGAUGGCGAAGGCAGGUCUCUGGGCCACUACUGACGCUGAGAAGCGAAAGCAUGGGGAGCGAACAGGAUUAGAUACCCUGGUAGUCCAUGCCGUAAACGUUGGGCGCUAGGUGUGGGACCCAUUCCACGGGUUCCGUGCCGCAGCUAACGCAUUAAGCGCCCCGCCUGGGGAGUACGGCCGCAAGGCUAAAACUCAAAGGAAUUGACGGGGGCCCCGCACAAAGCGGCGGAGCAUGCGGGAUUAAAUUCGAUGGAACGCGAAGAACCCUUACCAAAGGGUUUGACAUACACCGGAAACAUCCAGAGAUGGGGUGCCCCCGCAAGGUCGGUGUACAGGUGGUGCAUGGUUGUCGUCAGCUCGUGUCGUGAGAUGUUGGGGUAAAGCCCCGCAAACGAGCGCAACCCCUCAUUCUAAUGUUGCCCGGGGCGUUAUGGGGGGGAACUCAUAGGAAAACUGCCCGGGGGCCAACUUGGAAAGGAAGGGGGGGAAUGACGUCAAAAUCAAUCAUUGCCCCUUAUGUCUUGGGGUUUCACGCAUGCCUACAAUGGACCGGGUCAAAAGGGCUGGCGAAACCCGCGGAGGGAGGAACGAAAU
rnacentral:rRNA from 1 species